rnacentral:rRNA from 1 species
AGUUCGGAUCGCAGGCUGCAACCCGCCUGCGUGAAGUUGGAAUUGCUAGUAAUCGCGGAUCAGCAAGCCGCGGUGAAUACGUUCCCGGGCCUUGUACACACCGCCCGUCACACCAUGAGAGUCGGGAACACCCGAAGUCCGUAGUCUAACCGCAAGGAGGGCGCGGCCGAAGGUGGGUUCGAUAAUUGGGGUGAAGUCGUAACAAGGUAAC